UACCGGCACCCCGAGUGGUCGGGACGAUUAUUGGGCCUAAAGCAUCCGUAGCCGGUCAUGCAAGUCCUCCGUUAAAUCCACCUGCUUAACAGAUGGGCUGCGGAGGAUACUACAAGGCUAGGAGGCGGAAGAGGCAAGCGGUACUCAGUGGGUAGGGGUAAAAUCCUCUGAUCCAUUGAAGACCACCAGUGGCGAAGGCGGCUUGCCAAUACGCGCUCGACGGUGAGGGAUGAAAGCUGGGGGAGCAAACCGG
rnacentral:rRNA from 1 species